CCUACGGGAGGCAGCAGUGAGGAAUAUUGGUCAAUGGACGAGAGUCUGAACCAGCCAAGUAGCGUGAAGGAUGACUGCCCUGUGGGUUGUAAACUUCUUUUAUAUGGGAAUAAAACGUUCCACGUGUGGGAUUUUGUAUGUACCAUAUGAAUAAGGAUCGGCUAACUCCGUGCCAGCAGCCGCGGUAAUACGGAGGAUCCGAGCGUUAUCCGGAUUUAUUGGGUUUAAAGGGAGCGUAGGUGGAUUGUUAAGUCAGUUGUGAAAGUUUGCGGCUCAACCGUAAAAUUGCAGUUGAAACUGGCAGUCUUGAGUACAGUAGAGGUGGGCGGAAUGCGUGGUGUAGCGGUGAAAUGCUUAGAUAUCACGAAGAACUCCGAGUGCGAAGGCAGUUCACUGGACUGCAACUGACACUGAGGCUCGAAAGUGUGGGUAUCAAACAAGAUUAGAUACCCGUGUAGUC
rnacentral:rRNA from 1 species